UAGUGUGUGUGUCUAGUUAACACAAGAGC
rnacentral:piRNA from 1 species